rnacentral:rRNA from 1 species
GCUUGUCUCAAAGAUUAAGCCAUGCAUGUCUCAGUAUAAGUUCUUAUAUGGCGAAACUGCGAAUGGCUCAUUACAACAGUUAUAGUUUAUUUGAUGGUUGCUUACUACAUGGAUAACUGUGGUAAUUCUAGAGCUAAUACAUGCAUCAGUACCCGACUUUGUGGAAGGGUUGUGUUUAUUAGGUACAGAACCAAUGCAAGCUCCGCUUGACCUUUUGGUGAUUCAUGGUAACCGAACGAAUCGCACGGCACCAGCUGGCGAUGGACCAUUUCAGUUUCUGACCUAUCAGCUUCCGACGGUAGGAUAUGGGCCUACCGUGGCAAUGACGGGUAACGGAGAAUUAGGGUUCGAUUCCGGAGAGGGAGCCUGAGAAACGGCUACCACAUCCAAGGAAGGCAGCAGG